rnacentral:rRNA from 1 species
GUCAGAGGUGAAAGUCUGCAGCUCAACUGUAGAAUUGCCUUUGAUACUGGUUGUCUUGAAUUAUUGUGAAGUGGUUAGAAUAAGUAGUGUAGCGGUGAAAUGCAUAGAUAUUACUUAGAAUACCAAUUGCGAAGGCAGAUCACUAACAAUAUAUUGACGCUGAGGGACGAAAGCGUGGGGAGCGAACAGGAUUAGAUACCCUGGUAGUCCACGCCGUAAACGAUGGAUACUAGCUGUUCGAUUUUCGGAUUGAGUGGCUAAGCGAAAGUGAUAAGUAUCCCACCUGGGGAGUACGUUCGCAAGAAUGAAACUCAAAGGAAUUGACGGGG